CAAUUAACGCACGCGGGCGGGCGGGAGAUGAGCGACUUACGGAAGAAGUAAAGCUUAAAAAAGAAAAGCGAAAGAGCGGGGGAGCAGAGAAGGGGAAGGAUAAAAAGGUCGCCGCCUAUGGAGCCACUCAACCUCUAGACCUCAGUACCGCUAAAACUAACCCUCAAGAGGAAGCUACGAGCGAACUCCCGAACCACCAGUCCGUCGGCCUCAAGAAGAGAGGAGCAGCGACGUAGAGAGGAGACAACGAUAAAGGGAAAGCCAAGGGACAACGAGUCUAGACACCCAACGAGCCCACAAUACUAGACAUCCCAAUACACUACAACACGAAACCCCUAGCUCACAACACUAGACACUACACUACACAACCCGAGAACACUACAAAGGGGAAACCAAUCCGCGGGCACACACAAACGGACUAGCUAAGACAAACGCAGUAUCACUAAGAAGUCAAUCAAGUAAACCUAGGAUCAACAUCGACGAUAAAAAGCAAUCAACCAUAGGACUAAAAACAAAUCAAUAGAGGCCAUCAUCGACAAUUAAAAAUCUAGAUCGUACGAAACCAUGCUCAACUCAAACUAAAACCAGAGACUACACUCCCCAACCAGAGGGUAUCAUGCAACGCGACAACAUAACGAACCUCUUAAUAUCCAGGAGUAUCAUGAACCGGUCGAGUACGACAUCAAAAACGACGACCCAUCAUCAUGCACCACGACAGCAUUAAGAGUAAAAAGAGACAGUACCGUACCAUCUCCCAAGUCAAAGAGGUCACAUUAUCAACUAACGGUAAACAAGAGAUUACAUGAGGUACAUCCGUCCCCACCAUCAAGAUACCCUUAAAAUCCACGAACGGUAAAGAAAAUCAUAAAUGACUUCGAUACGGAGACAUUAAAUUCAACCAAACGGUGACAUAAUAUACUACGAAUAUUGGCAUGAUCGUAACACUAAGAACGAACGAUCAGUAAGAUUAAGUUCACGUAGUCUUGACAUUAAGAUCAUCAAACAAAAAAAAUCUGGCCGUGGCUUACGGAGACAGAAUAAAACAUACAGUGUAUGUGCCGUCCACCAGAGGAUCUAAAUCAAUACAGGUUUAAUUCACCAAAAUAAGUCCAACCUACACUCUUUCGGUGUAGUUACAAGUCCGGCCCAAGCAAGUCAUCGAUCCAAACCAAAUGAUUAACCGGUAACGCUCAACGCUGAUCUCAAUUAGAAUACGAGACAAACCAGCGACCUAAAGAACACGUAAACAAACAAUCACAACCGAACAAAAUAGAGUUUAAACAACAAAUAAUGACUUCUACUUCUAACAACCUGAACUGACUAGAAGACUCAAGAUAAAAAAUAGAUGACUUCUUUUACCGUACGAGGGAAACCAUCCGUUUCGUAUAUUAACACCACACACUUCAACAUUUUACCUUAAUUGCCCUAUUAUUCUUGCUCUUGUACCUUGUCAUGAUCCAUGAACAUAAACACUAAUUUAGCCAACUACACAUACAACUAAGUCAUAUUGUAACAGACAAACACAACUACGAUCGAUACGGUGUUAAUAUAUAGUAUCCAAUACUGACAAAUCAGGACUAAAGGAUCCAAAAAAGGACCAUACAUGACAUUAAAUACAACAGACGGUAACAUUAAAGUUAACAAGUGAAAACAUUUAAAACUAACGAAAAUUACAUUAAGCUCACUAGAUCGAAACAUUAAGGUCACCACAAUACUCACAUCAAGAUCGUGAAAAAAAAGAACCAAAGAUGACAUUAAAAUCCCCUCAAGGUAACAUUUAGCAAACAUUAAAAAACUAAAUAAAGGCGUCACUAUAGAGAUAUAAAACGUCACCGAAUGAUCACAUAAAAAAUAGCUAAUGCUGACAUUAAGGUUACCAAUAUCCCUAGAUCGAGACAUUAAGGUCUCUACAUCGAAACAUUAAGGUCAUCAAAAUCAUAACGACUACUAACAUUAAGGUCAUCAAAAUAAGGACCAAUGAUGACAUUAACAUUCACUCAAGAUAAAGAUAUGGUUACAUUAAGAUCUCUACAUCGAGAAAUAAAGGUUAUCAUAUAACAAAAUCUCACAUCAAAGGUUAUCAUUUAUCAGUCGACAUAAAAUAGUCAUAAAAAUCACAUUAUAGUCUCAAUAAAAUAACACUAAAGUCGAACUUGCACACAUUUACACUCUAACGAGGACUCACAACAAAAGGAUAGUGACCUAACGAGACCUGACGGGAAAAGAAUAGUGAAAUAAAUGAGACAUUUAGAAUCAAAAACGACAAUAAACAUUCACUCUAGUGUCACAAUAACAAUCAUAUUAAAAUCAGAAAAAUGAUAUUCAACAUUCACUUUAAUGUCACGGUUAACAUCACAUUAAAAUCCAAUCAAUGAGAUAGAAACAGUCACAAAAAUGAGAAAUUAAGAAUCACCUAAGAAAAUCACGUUACUGAGGAUUAGAAACUCAAAUGAGCCGUUAAAUAUCACCUAAAGAAUCACAUUAAUGAAAUAUAAACAUCACAUUAAUGACAUAUUAAAAUCACAUUAAUGAGAUAGAGCAGUCAAGAAAAGUGUGACGUUUAACAUCACCUUAAGUGUGACAUUAACUCACACUAUUAGAGACAAAGUAACUAAAUGUGACAUUUAAGAUCACCUUAACAUCACACCACAGUGGUAUUAAAAUAAUUACAUUAAAUAAGGGGAGCGACGCACGAACUCGUCCAACCACCAGUCCACAGGUCGCGAGAGGGUAGUCAACGCGGCGGCGUAGAGGGCCGGCUCCAAAGAAUGGAACUGGCACACGUGAGACCCAACUUAAGAGAAGGACUGUCGUUCGGAUCUUAAGACCAUACCUCUCCAUUGUUUCAAUUCCUAAAGAGCCUUAAUGUAUUCUCGUUGUCAGCAAGCAUACCGUUCUCCGGCAACUUCGCAAAUAGUGGUAGUCAAAUGCGUGUCUUCAGAACACUUUUCAAAAGUACAAGUCAUUGGAUAUCAUAGGGGAAACGGUUAUUCUAAAGUUGUAGUCUUCAAGUACGAGGUCGACAACUAUUACAGAGAAAACGGACAUUUCGACUUUGCCGAAUACGAAGUGCCAAACCUUUACUACAACACGUUGUUUAUCAACCUGAACAAGUCAGAAGUUUACGGCGAUUCGGAGUCUGAAAAGUUCUAACCAGCCUCAGGGAACAAAGUUCUAAAUAUGACCUAAAUGUCACAGGUCACAUUAAGAUUCACCUAAAUGUGACAUUAAGGAUGACCUAAAUGUGACAUUAAGAUACACUUAAAUGUCACAUUAAGAAUGACCUAAAUGUGACAUUAAGGAUGACCUAAACAUCACAGAAUCACCUAAACUUGAUUUUACGAACCACAUUAUAAAUCACUUAAAAUGUUACAAAAUGCCACCUAAGUAUAACCUAAAUGUCACAAAAAGAAUCACCUAAAUGUCGCCAUGAAUAUCACAUUUAGAAUAAUCCUUAUACGUUGAACAUAAGAGUACUCCGGUAUCCAGCUAUAUAUACGUACAUGUCCACACCUUGUAUACGUCCUUUGAGAAAUAUGUUACCCUAUUUAUGUU
rnacentral:rRNA from 1 species